UCUGGUUGAUCCUGCCGGAGGCUACCGCUAUUGGAGUUCGAUUAAGCCAUGCGAGUCGAGAGUCUUAGGGACUCGGCGUACCGCUCAGUAACACGUGGGUAACCUGCCCUAUGCUGGGGAAUAACCUCGGGAAACUGAGAAUAAUGCCCCAUAGUCCACAAUGCCUGGAACGGUUUGUGGAUUAAAGCCCCGGCGGCAUAGGAUGGGCCUGCGGCGUAUCAGGUUGUAGGGGGUGUAACGUACCCUCUAGCCAUCAACGCGUACGGGUGUUGGGAGACAUAGCCCGGAGAUGGAUUCUGAGACACGAAUCCAGACCCUACGGGGUGCAGCAGGCGCGAAAACUUGGCAAUGCGAGAAAUCGUGACCAGGGAACUCCAAGUGGCUGGGGUAAGACCCAGUCUUUUCUUGACUCUUCAAAGGUCUUGGAAUAAGAGGUGGGUAAGGACGGUGCCAGCCGCCGCGGUAAUACCGGCGCCUCAAGUGGUAGUCGAUUUUAUUGGGCCUAAAACGUCCGUAGCCUGUUUGGUACAUUCGUGGGUAAAUCAACCAGCUCAACUGGUUGAAUUCUGCGAGCACGGCCAGACUUGGGACCGGGAGAGGUGUGGGGUACGCUCAGGGUAGGGGUAAAAUCCUGUCAUCCUGAGCGGACCACCUGUUGCGAAGGCGCCACACUAGAACGGAUCCGACGGUCAGGGACGAAGCCUAGGGGCACGAACCGGAUUAGAUACCCGGGUAGUCCUAGGUGUAAACGCUGUGGACUUGGU
rnacentral:rRNA from 1 species